rnacentral:rRNA from 1 species
AACCGACACAGGUAGUCAAGAUGAGAAUUCUAAGGUGAGCGAGCGAACUCUCGUUAAGGAACUCGGCAAAAUGACCCCGUAACUUCGGGAGAAGGGGUGCUCUUUAGGGUUCACGCCCAGAAGAGCCGCAGUGAAUAGGCCCAAGCGACUGUUUAUCAAAAACACAGGUCUCUGCUAAACCGUAAGGUGAUGUAUAGGGGCUGACGCCUGCCCGGUGCUGGAA